rnacentral:lncRNA from 8 species
UAUCUUCCUUUCCCGUUGCAUAACAUUUUCCUACUGUUUGCCCUACUGAACAUGACCCUGGUUUACAAACCCUAUUUAAUUUGUGCACAGCUGCAGAGAUUAGAGAGAAGAGGAUGGAAGAGAAGCUUCUGGAGGUGGACAGAGAGGGAGACCUCUUCAGCUGGUCAGCAUCUGAUCAUCCCUGACCCUCCACUGAACCUCUCAACCUCAGGCUCUGCAAGAUGUGGCCUCCAGACAUCCGCUGUAGAGACCUGCCUACAGGGGGCAGAAGCAGUGUCAGAAAGAUGCUCAAGUCUGGAGCCAACCCCAGCAUCAAGAAGGAGCAGCAACUGAUAUGUCCACUGAAGAAAUUAAACACAUUAUUUUUAUAACUAUGACCAAACAGUUUUUGACCUGGCCUGCAGUGAGGAGAUUAAGCAGAUUCUGGUGGGCUGUCAUGACAAGGUGAGAUGCGAGAGGAACAUUGAAGCAAAAAGCUGCUGAUUCUGUGAAUCUACUGGAACAAACAGUUGUUUUUCUUCCCCUAGAGGAUACGACAUGUGUUGUGCCGAACAUUGAAGGCCUCUUAUGGAAAGUAUUUGU